UACAGAGGUCUCAAGCGUUUGUUCGGAUUCAUUGGGCGUAAAGGGUGCGUAGGUGGCGCCGUAAGUCAGGUGUGAAAUCUCGGGGCUCAACCCCGAAACUGCACUUGAUACUGCGGUGCUCGAGUACUGGAGAGGAGAUUGGAAUUUACGGUGUAGCAGUGAAAUGCGUAGAUAUCGUAAGGAAGACCAGUGGCGAAGGCGAAUCUCUGGACAGU
rnacentral:rRNA from 1 species